rnacentral:rRNA from 1 species
GACAGAGGUGCCGAGCGUUAGGCGGAAUCACUGGGCUUAAAGCGUGUGUAGGCGGGCCGUUAAGUAUCUUGUGAAAUCCCCCGGCUCAACCGGGGAAUGGCUGGAUAUACUGGCGGUCUUGAGCGAUCUAGGGGCAGAUGGAACAAGUGGUGGAGCGGUGAAAUGCGUAGAUAUCACUUGGAACGCCAAAGGUGAAGACAGUCUGCUGGGGAUCUGCUGACGCUGAGACACGAAAGCCAGGGGAGCGAACGGG